rnacentral:rRNA from 1 species
CAGCCGCCGCGGUAAUACGUAGGUAGCAAGCGUUGUCCGGAAUUAUUGGGCGUAAAGGGCUCGCAGGCGGUUUCUUAAGUCUGAUGUGAAAGCCCCCGGCUCAACCGGGGAGGGUCAUUGGAAACUGGGAAACUUGAGUGCAGAAGAGGAGAGUGGAAUUCCACGUGUAGCGGUGAAAUGCGUAGAGAUGUGGAGGAACACCAGUGGCGAAGGCGACUCUCUGGUCUGUAACUGACGCUGAGGAGCGAAAGCGUGGGGAGCGAACAGGAUUAGAUACCCCUGUAGUCCCUGUCUCUUAUAC